GAUGAACGCUGGCGGCGUGCCUAAUACAUGCAAGUCGAGCGAACGGAUGAGAAGCUUGCUUCUCUGAUGUUAGCGGCGGACGGGUGAGUAACACGUGGAUAACCUACCUAUAAGACUUGGAUAACUUCGGGAAACCGGAGCUAAUACCGGAUAAUAUUUUGAACCGCAUGGUUCAAAAGUGAAAGACGGUCUUGCUGUCACUUAUAGAUGGAUCCGCGCUGCAUUAGCUAGUUGGUAAGGUAACGGCUUACCAAGGCAACGAUGCAUAGCCGACCUGAGAGGGUGAUCGGCCACACUGGAACUGAGACACGGUCCAGACUCCUACGGGAGGCAGCAGUAGGGAAUCUUCCGCAAUGGGCGAAAGCCUGACGGAGCAACGCCGUGUGAGUGAUGAAGGUCUUCGGAUCGUAAAACUCUGUUAUUAGGGAAGAACAUAUGUGUAAGUAACUGUGCACAUCUUGACGGUACCUAAUCAGAAAGCCACGGCUAACUACGU
rnacentral:rRNA from 1 species